UACGUAGGUGGCGAGCGUUGUCCGGAUUUACUGGGCGUAAAGGGCGUGCAGGCGGUUUGUUAAGUGCAGGGUGAAAGCUCCCGGCUCAACUGGGAGAGGUCCUUGCAUACUGGCGAACUCGAGGGAGGAAGAGGAAAGUGGAAUUCCCGGUGUAGUGGUGAAAUGCGUAGAUAUCGGGAGGAACACCAGUGGCGAAGGCGGCUACCUGGCCCACUCUUGACGCUGAGGCGCGAAAGCUAGGGGAGCAAACGGG
rnacentral:rRNA from 1 species